GUUGUUGUUGUUGUUGCUAUUUCUUGGGUCGCUCCCACGGCAUAUGGAGGUUCCCAGGCUAGGGGUCUAAUCGGAGCUGUAGCCACCAGCCUACGCCAGAGCCACAGCAACGCGGGAUCCGAUCCGCGUCUGCAACCUACACCACCGCUCACGGCAACGCCGGAUCGUUAACCCACUGAGCAAGGGCAGGGACCGAACCCGCAACCUCAUGGUUCCUAGUCGGAUUCGUUAACCACUGCGCCACAACGGGAACUCCAAUAGGAAAAGAUAUUUACACUACGAACAUCUGACAAAGGAUGGGUAUCCAGAAUACAAAAAGGACUCCCCAAACAGUAAGGAAAGACUCAAUAGAACUCAACAGAAAAAUGGGCAAAGGAUGAACAGGCCACUUCACAAAAUACACACACAUCAGAAUGACUGGUUUAAAACAAUGACAGCAUCAAGUACUGGUGAGAAUGCAGAAGAGCUAAAACUCUCAAGCUCUGCUGAUACCCUAUGACCCAGCAAUUCCAUUCCAAAGCAUAUACGCAUCAGAAUACUUACAUACGUUUACUGAAAGAUAUGCACUAGAAUGUUCUUCGCAGCAGCAUUCAUAACAGUCAAAACUGGAAACAUGCCAAAUGCCCACCAACAGUUGAUGAGCUAAAUUCCACAUAAUGGAAUGUUACACCGCAUUGAAAAUGAAUGAUCUGAAAUUACAUAUAACAAUACGGACAAAUCCCACAGAGAAAUGAUGAGCAAAAGAAGAUAGACAUAAAAAAGUACAUUUUCUAUAUAAAAUACAAAUACAGGCAAGAAUUAAUCUAUGCUAUUAGAAGUAUGGAUACUGAUAAUCCACAAGGACAAUAGAGGAACUUGUUUGUUUCUUGAUCAAGAUGCUGGUUGCACAGAUAGUCAGUUUGUGAAAAGUCAUAAGCUGCACAUGUAUGAUCUGUUUGCUUUCCCUGUAUGUAUAUUACAUCUGAAUAAUUUUUUUAAAGGAAAUAAUCUCCACAGUUAAUCUUGACAUAGAGGAAGAUCAGUUCAUCAGCCAAAUUCCUAACUGUGCUAUAACUACCUAAAAUCCUCUCCAUUCAGAAGGAGCUCUAAUAGUUUCAAUAUAGAUUAUGCAGUCAGAUAAAGCCCGAGACUUGAAAUGAAAGAGAGGAUGAAAUGACAGUGGAAAAUGCUAGGCUAUUUAUGAAUAUUUCUUUGCAUUUCCUCAAACCUCCUUAGUAACCACUAUCUAUCCAGCUGGUAGAAAUAAUUCCAAAACUCUUGAGGUCUUCUGGAUUUGAAGUUACCUAAAAUCUUUCAUUAAAUUAUAAUCAGAAGAUUCCAGAAGAUUGCAGUGGGUUAAGAAUCCAACUACAGCAGCUCAGGCUGCUACAGAGGCAGAGGUUCGAUCCCCACCUAGUGCAGGCUAUGAAGGAUCUGGCAAUGCCACAGCUGUCGCUCAGAUGCAAUCCCUGGCCUGGGAACUUCCUAUGCUACAGAUGUGGUCAUAAAAAUAAAAAUGCAAAAAGAAGAUUCCAGAGUUCGCGCUGUGGUUCUGUGGUAACGCACCCAACUAGCAUCCAUGAGGACGUGGUUCAAUCCCUGGCCCCGUUCAGUGGGUUAAGGAUCCAGUAUUGCUGUGAGCUGCGGUGUAGGUCCCAAUGUGCUGGCCUACACCACAUUGCUAUGGCUGUGGUGUAGGCCAGCAGCUACAGCUCCAAUUAAACCCCGAGCCUGGAAAAUUCCAUAUGCCGUGGGUACAGCCCCCAAAAAAAGGAAGAAAAAAAAAAGAUUCCAAAUCUCCAGAAAGUCGAUCAAAAUGGGCAUGUAAACUAUUACAUCAAUUAGAAAUAACAUUCUGAUGCAUGUAACAGGAAGCCCAAAUCAUAGUGUCUUAAGGAAGAUAGAGGUUUACUCUUCUCAUCAAAUGCAAGUUCAGAGAGAGGUACUUGCUGACACUAGUCUAGCAGCUCAAGAAUAUAUGAGGUAAGAUCUCUGUAAAUCUCUUGGCUUUCCUCUAAAGGCCUCUAGAAUACUGGUCCAGCUCUGGUCAUCAGGUCUAAUUUCUAUGCAGGAUGAAAAAGAUACAGGUAAAAGGGCUUUCAAAAAAAAAAAAAAAACUUCAUCCAGAAAUUUUUGCCUACAUCUCACUAACCAGGACGAUGUUAAAAAGGUACUUGACUGGACAAGAGGCUGAGAAAUGUAAGUGUUCUUCACUAGGCAUGCUUCUGCUUCUAACAAAACUUAAGUUCUAUCAGAAAGGAAACAAGGGGAAAUGGCUAUCAGGCAAUUAGGAAUCUCCACCACAGCUAUGACGACUACGUGAUGUUUCCACUAACAUUGAAUAUAUAGUUUUUAAUCUAGUAAUUUACACGUUUGAGGCUUACGGCACUAGAGGCAUUUUUCCAUGGUAUAACUCUGACGACUACUUUCCCAAAGCAUUUUUCAUACUAUUUCCCACAAGAAGAAAUAUAAACGUUCAGGCUCCAUUUACAUGAAAAGGCCAGGCGCAGCCACCAUUUCUUCAGCGAGCAGCCGAAGAUCAAUGUGCAGACUGUUUUACUUCCAUAUUUCAAUUUUAAUCUUUUAAACAGAAAAUUACAAAGAAGCAGAAUAAAGUUUUUCCUAAACUCCUCAGUUCUUAGAUGUCUUAUGUUAAUAAUGAGUCAAAAAAUAGAACUUCUUAAAUCCUAAAGAGAGCAUUUAUUUCCUAAUGAAUUUUUUCAGAAUGAACAAUGAAUUCUCAGUCUCCCCCUUUCUGAACUAAAGCAUGAUUAACCAUUCAUCCAAAUUAACUCAGUUCACCUCUCUGUCAAGUAACAUGGUAUUUUUCUGCUGAAACAUAGUUAUCAGAACAAACCUUUUCCUCUCAACAUAAAAGGUGUGAAUAAUGCUAUAUUCAACUAGCAUUUCCCAUAUUCUUCAGUCCUUCUCUUUAUCCUUUUCCUGAAUAAACCAGUUUAAUAAAUUAUUAAAAUAAUUUUUAACAAAAUUAUUAUUUACAGUUCCUGCCACGACACAGUCGGUUAAGGAUCCAGUGUCGCCCCAGCUGCAGCUCGGGUCACAGCUAUGUCUCGGAUUCAAUCCCUGGCCCAGGAACUUCCAUGUGCCAUGUGUGCAGCCAUAAAAAGAAAAAAAUUAAAUUAAAAAAACAAAAAAUUAUCACGUCAUAUUCAGUAACAAUACACUUCAUGGGAAAUGUUUAAAAGGGAACAGUCAAUUCGCUGAAUGUUACACUGCAGCUCUACAGCAUUUUUUUUCACACAGUCUCUAUUUUGUGCAAAGGUUUCCUUGUUCUCUUUUAAACAACUACAUAUUAAAGUCUAAAUUAAGUUCAAUACAUAUCACAGGGAAGACUUUAAAAUAAACCAAAGCUAAAACUGAAUAAAAGAUGUACAGUGAUUAACCCAAGGAAGCGGAAUUUAAUUUUUUUUUAAUCCUUGAAACAUUUAAGGAUUACCUCCUCUACAGGAUGCUGGCAGCUGCUAGUUCUGG
ensembl:lncRNA